UACGGAGGGUGCAAGCGUUAAUCGGAAUUACUGGGCGUAAAGCGCGCGUAGGCGGCUUGAUAAGUCAGAUGUGAAAGCCCCGGGCUCAACCUGGGAACUGCAUUUGAUACUGUCUGGCUAGAGUAUGGUAGAGGGGGGUGGAAUUCCCGGAGUAGCGGUGAAAUGCGUAGAUAUCGGGAGGAACACCAGUGGCGAAGGCGGCCCCCUGGACCAAUACUGACGCUGAGGUGCGAAAGCGUGGGGAGCAAACAGG
rnacentral:rRNA from 1 species